rnacentral:tRNA from 1 species
GGAGCCGUGUCUGAGCGGUCUAAGGUACCUCUUUGCUAAAGAGGCAGGGGCGUUAAACCCCCUCGCGAGUUCGAAUCUCGCCGGCUCCG